rnacentral:misc_RNA from 1 species
UACGUAAGGGGCAAGCGUUAUCCGGAAUUAUUGGGCGUAAAGCGUCUCUAGGUGUCCUAUCAAGUCUGGUGUUAAAUCUGAGGGCUCAACCCUCAGCUCGUACCGGAAACUAAUGGGAUCGAGGAGUGCAGAGGCAGGUGGAAUUUCAGAAGUAGGGGUAAAAUCCGUAGAUCUCUGAAGGAACACCAAACGCGAAGGCAGCCUGCUGGGCACUUCCUGACACUCAAGGACGAAAGCGUGGGGAGCAAACGGG